rnacentral:rRNA from 1 species
GACGAACGCUGGCGGCGUGCUUAACACAUGCAAGUCGAACGCUGAAGCUUGGUGCUUGCACUGGGUGGAUGAGUGGCGAACGGGUGAGUAAUACGUGAGUAACCUGCCCUUGACUCUGGGAUAAGCCUGGGAAACUGGGUCUAAUACUGGAUACGACAUGCCACUGCAUGGUGGUGUGUGGAAAGGGUUUUACUGGUUUUGGAUGGGCUCACGGCCUAUCAGCUUGUUGGUGGGGUAAUGGCCUACCAAGGCGACGACGGGUAGCCGGCCUGAGAGGGUGACCGGCCACACUGGGACUGAGAGACGGCCCAGACUCCUACGGGAGGCAGCAGUGGGGAAUAUUGCACAAUGGGCGGAAGCCUGAUGCAGCGACGCCGCGUGAGGGAUGACGGCCUUCGGGUUGUAAACCUCUUUCAGCACGGAAGAAGCGAGAGUGACGGUACGUGCAGAAGAAGCGCCGGCUAACUACGUG